CAUUCAAAUGUUGAUUUCAAAUUUAAAUAUCAACGUUAUGAAUGAAGCUUUGAACUAUUCGGUACAGCCAUAGUUUUCAGAGCAGAAA